rnacentral:lncRNA from 1 species
CCGUGAGUCACCCUGAACUACAUAAAGAGGACUGGUUAAAUUCAUCAGAGAAACUGGUCCCUACGUACAGCACUCAGCAGCCUCUCAUCACAAACAGCAGAACAGAACAGUUGGCAGUGGGUGAUGUGGCACCUGAAAGGGCCACUGAAUUAGCAGCACACCAGCUGGAAGGGACUCUGCCUGUAUCCCCAUGGUGGCAAAGAGCCCCAGAUGAGGCCUCAGUCAGGAGGCGGGGAAGAAGUCUACGGGUUAUCAGAUUUAUGGUGUUCAAAACUAAAGUGUAUAUCAUCUGACCUGAGAUCCAGAUGGCUGGGUUGGAGUGAAAUAAAAGCAGAAGCAGAAAUUGAUGGUCAACUUUAUCCAAAGAACAAUAAAAUCCCUCGUCAUGUUCCAGAAAGCCAAAGUGCCUUAAUACUUCUCAAAUGGUAUUUCCCACAGAAGCAAAAGCUGCAUUUGCUUGUUAGCCACAGGGCAAUUGUGUGAGUAUCAGAGAAAGGGC